GUGUCAGCAGCCGCGGUAAUACAGAGGGUGCGAGCGUUAAUCGGAAUUACUGGGCGUAAAGCGCGUGUAGGCGGCUUUGCAAGUCGGGUGUGAAAUCCCCAAGCUCAACUUGGGAACUGCAUUCGAGACUGCAUUGCUAGAGUAUGGGAGAGAGAAGUGGAAUUUCCGGUGUAGCGGUGAAAUGCGUAGAUAUCGGAAGGAACAUCAGUGGCGAAAGCGACUUCUUGGACCAAUACUGACGCUCAAGUGCGAAAGCGUGGGGAGCAAACAGGAUUAGAUACCCUAGUAGUCC
rnacentral:rRNA from 1 species